GUUAUUGGGCAUCUCAGGAGAUGUGUGUUAGAACAAUGAUAGAACCAUACCUUGGUAAGGGGCAUAUAUUAUAUACAGAUAACUGGUACACAAGCCCCUCACUCAGUGAUUUUUUGCGAGUGAACAUGACAGAUGUGUGUGGCACAGUGCGUGCAAAUCGGAAACAUAUGCCCAGGUUUGACGCUGGCACUCGUAGAGGUGAGGUGCAGGCGUUUGCUGCCAAUGACAUCAUGGCAUUUCGGUGGCAUGACAAACGAGAUGUCACACUGUUGUCAUCAGUUCACCCUAAUGAAAUGGCAGACAGUGGCAGGCAGCAUAGAGAGAGCAAUGAACCCAUUCUAAAACCUGCAGCUGUGAUUGAUUACACCUUCAAUAUGCGUUCAGUGGACAAAUGUGACAUGCAGAUUGGGUUUGCUGAGUGUGUUCGCAAGAGUUAUAAGUGGUACAUCAAACUGUUUUUCCAUCUUCUGGACAUUUCCAGCUCAAUGCUUAUAAUAUGUAUAAGAUGAGGACCAGAAACAAACCACAGUACGGCGAAUUCUGUUUGUCUGUCAUCAGACAAAUAGUAUUCAAGUACCAAGGAACAGCACCUGCAAUUGACCGCCCACCAAAUUAUCAACAACUACCUGCUCGUCUGAAGCAUGGUGAUCACUUCCUGGUAAAAGUGCCUGCUACUGCUUUCAAGAAAAAGGCUCAGAAGAGGUGUUACGUCUGUUCACAUACAAAAAAACGCCCACAACAAUGCAGAGACACUCAUUUUAUGUGUGAGGAAUGUAAAACACCACUGUGCAUGACACCAUGUUUCAAAGAGUUCCACAGGCUGCAGAACUUCUAGAAACAUUCCCUGUGACUGUAUAUGUGUAUAUAAAAUAUAGAAAAAUAGUAAUAAGCAACAUUUCAUAUUGUUUGUUUGUGUAAAUAUUUUUUGUAAACAAAUUAAUGACAACAGUGUUUAUGCCCUUAUUGUGUAGUAUUGAAAAAGAAAUAACUUACAAAAUACUGAUCAUGUUGGCCUCAGAGGCCAUAAAAGUUACUCAGAAAAAGAAAAAUUGAAAAAUAAUUGAAAAUAGUACAUAAAAAAGUAAAUAGAAAAAUACCGGGUGACAGCAGUCGGCGAUGUUACCAGAUGUUGUUCAAUUUUGGCAAACUUCACGCCUCCAUAUCUCGGUAAGUAUUGACGGUAAAAUUUUUUUGUUUAGCCUAUAAUAUUUAGAAAAAACUAUUUUUUCAUAAGAAAAAAUUUUUUUUUUUUUUUUUUUGAAAUUUGGCCGACCCUGAGAACGAGUUUCGGAGAGGGCUUGUCGACCCUCAAAGGGUUAAACUCAUUGUGUCAAAAAAUUUUCCAAAAAAAAAAAAAAAAAAAAAAAAAAUUCUUAUGAAAUGAUAAAGAAUCUUUUCCCAAUGGUAAUGACACCAAAAGUACGAAAUUUGAUGGAAAACUUAUAAAAUUACACUCUCUCAGCAAUUUUGCCUACUUUGAGCCCUAUUUUAAGCCAAUUCCAUUGUUCCAGCCGACUAAAAUCAUAGCUAUUUUGCUAGAACUCCAUUUGUUCUAUCGAUUGAGUAUAAGAAACCGCCCAGUUACUGAUUUCAACUACCCAAUAAAGUGGUCAGAAAUUGGCAAUUUGGCAAAUUUCACACAAAUUUCAAAAGAUGCCAAUUUCAAAAUAGGGUCCAGAAUAAACAAGGCAGAUAUUCCUGGCACUAAAAUAACAUUUUCUCUGUUCAUUAGUCACAUCUCCAGGCCCCUCUUACAUUACUCUUGCUUUCCAUUUUGAAUUUUUAUUCUCACAAAAAAUAGAAUAUUUACUGUUAUGCUGACUACUGCAUUAUUAUAAUUGUAUAAAUAAUGUCAACCCAUUCAUGACUGUGUAUUAGACUGGCCAGUUGGACACAUAUUGGACAGUGACGUCAUUUGUUUACUCUUGAACAUCAGCAAAACUCAAACAUUUUCGCUACUCUGAGCUCAAUUUCAAGGCACUUUUCAUCGUGAAACCAAUCAAAAUCAUCUCUAUUUCUGUAAUAUAUCUUUCAUUCUAUCAAAUGAGACCAAGAAAACGAGAAUACAACCAUAAUACCAUACGAAAAUAGACCUCAAAUUCGAGUUUUGUUUUUUUCCUCGUGCACUGCGUGCUGCAGGAUUUGUUUUAUACUGCACACACUGACCACGCAGACCCAUUGUUUCAUAUAUAGGCCUGCCAACUUUCUUCCACUAGAUUUGAAGGAGCUAGAAUUUUGGCAUAGCAUUAUGCGACCGACACUGGUUCUCAAGCCGUAAUAUUACAGGACUGACACUGAAAGGGUUAAGUGAGGAGAGGCUGUAUUUGAGAAUAGGUCACUGUGAAUAAAAUCCAUUUAAUUUUGUUAGUCAGGAUUACCACUGUUGGCUUUGACCUAUAAAAUAAUGCAGCAAUAGAAGGGUGACCACAUGGGCAUGGCCUUCCCCUUGCCAAGGCAUGGGUUUUCUAUUUCACUCAGAAUAUACUUAUACCCUGCUUUUCAGCUUGGAGUGCAGAACUUAUAUCCUGUUAAUUUUUGACUAGACUGAUAUGCAACCUAUUGACAAAAGGGGUAAAAUAAGUUCUAAGCAAGAUGUGCCUUAAUUGGGCAAUAUGUGAGCAAAACAUUGUCUAGAAGACUUAUUAAAGCUCACAAUUAAGUGAAAUGUUGUCCAGUAAAGGCUCAUCAAGUUAAGUACGUUUUUAUUUUGUCCUAAUUUUGGGAAGUUUAAACUUGAAAUUGUAAAGUUAUUUGAAACCAGUCAUCUUCGCCAUUCCAAAAACACCAUCAACAUAAUUCAUUAUCAAACUAUGAACAUACAUAAAAUGUAAUCAGAAAAUCAAGGACAAAUGAUUGUUGAAACAUUGCAAUAACUAAUUUCCUUCAUAAAAAUACCAACAGGUUCACAACAUGGAUUAUUAGUGCAAAUUCUAUGCAGUGUUUAAUUCAGUUAGAUAUGCAGUAGCAUUAAAACUUUCUUGGGGAUUUUCCUGAUUAAUAGAAUCUCAGAAGAAGCAAGAAAUGCCCUGAUAGUUUAGAAAAACAUUUAGAAAAGUACUGUAGCUAGUAAUAGUAGGAUAGUUAUUGAUCAGAUACAGUGAACCCCCUCAUUAAUAGACAAAUAGGGGGAAGUGAGUGUACGAUAUUACCAAAACUUUCGAAUUAUUAAGAUAAUUUCAUAAUCAUCCUGUUGUCUUCUGAACGAGCGGACUUCGUCUGGUGAUGCAAAAGACAACCAGAUACUAGGAAUACGGGUAUUGUAACCUGUAGUACUAUAGUACAGGACUGUACUGUAUAGUAAUUUUAUAGUACUCUAUGUAAUUUUCAGUAAUUUUACUUUCCUUUUCAUGUUGGAGAGAUGAGGCACAAACUGCCGUGAUCGAUAGUGGUGACUCAGAGUAACUUCUAUUCUGAGUCAGAGGACUCGGAGGACAUAGUCUAUCUCUCACUGCAUUGCUGUUACAGUUGCAACACCGAUUUUUCUGGUAUUCUUGGUUCCUAGGCCUUGCUGGAAUAUCAAUUUUGGUGGGCCAAUAGAGGUCACAUAAUAAUAUUUCAACAGCACACCUGACCUACCAUGGUCUGCUGGAAAUUUGAAUUAAACAUUAGUACAUAUAAAUGAAUUAGGUUUAUUAACCCUUUGACUGUUUACGCCGUAUAAAUACGUCUUACGCGCCACUGUUUCUGACGUAUAUAUACUCAUAAAUUCUAGCGGCUUCAAAUCAAGCAGGAGAAAGCUGGUAGGCCCACAUGUGAGAGAAUGGGUCUGUGUGGUCAGUGUGCACCACAUAAAAAAAAUCCUGCAGCACACAGUGCGUAAUGAGAAAAAAAAAAAAAUGACUGUUUUUUUGGAUUACAACGCCGACUUUGAGGUGUAUUUUCGUAUAGUAUUUAUCAUUGUAUUCUCGUGUUCAUGAUUUUAGGUGUUAAAAUGGAAAACAUAUUACAGAAAUAGAGAUGAUUUUCAUUACUUUCACGAUGAAAACGACCUUGAAACUGAGCUCAAAGUAACGGAAAUGUUCGAUUUUUACCAAUGUUCAGGAGUAAGCAAAUCACACCACACGUCCAAUGCACGUCAACUGGGGAGUCUAAUAUUCUUUCACUAGUGCACUGAUAUUAUUUAUACCAUUUAUAAAAUAAUGCAGUAGUCUGCAUACCAGUAAAUUUUGUAUUUUUUUGUAUGAAUAAAAAAUCAAAAUAGAAAGCAAUAGUAAUAUAAGAGGGGCCUAGAGAUGUGACUAAUGAACAGAAGAUAUGUUAUUUUAGUGCCAAGAAUGUCUACCUUGCUUAUUCUGGACCCUAUUUUGAAAUUGGCAUCUUUUUUGAUUUGUGUGAAAUUGGCCAAAUUGCCAAUUUCUGACAACUUUAUUGGGUAGUUUAAAUCGGUAAAUGGGCGGUUUCUUGUACUCAACUGAUAGAUAAAAUGGAGUUCUAAAGAAAUAGCUAUGAGUUUGGUCAACCGGAACAAUGGAAUUGGCUAAAAACAGGGCUCAAAGUCGGCAAAAUCGCCGAUACGUAUAUGUUGCCGAGACUGCUAACUUCGCGGGAGCAUAAUUCCGUGAGUUUUCGACCAAAUUUCAAACUUUUGGUGUCAUUACCAUCGGGAAAAGAUUCUCUAUCAUUUCACAAGAAAAAAUAAUUUUUUUUUUUCUCAAAAAAUUUUGCAACAUAGAAUGACAGUUUCAGAAAGGGGCCUGCGACAGUCAAAGGGUUAAUUACCAUAAAGUGAAUGUUGCAGUAAUACUACUCCCAGAGUGGUAAGUUUUAGAAUUUUACUGGAACUGUAUAGGUAAUCAAAAAGGUCUAGAAGUUCAGGGUUGUCAGGACUACUGUCUGUUUCAUAAUUGACUGGUUCAUCAUAGAUUUGUGAUGUUAUCUGGGGUGCUUGAAGUUGAAGCCACAGGAUUUUCAGAUGAAGACCAACUGUUGUGACACAUUCUUCUUGGCUAACUUUUUAAAUAUUUCAUCCAAGCAAAGUUGUUUCAUGUAUUUUCAUCUUUUCCUGUGAAAUUUUUCAUUCAUCUAAUAAAAAUUUCAUUAGCUCUUGUUAAAAAGAACAUUGUUCUAGUCUGUUGAUUAACCUCACAGCUCAAUUAACUUGUCAAUGCAGCCUCUCCUCACUUAAUGAUGGAGUUCCAUUCCUAAGACCACGUCGUUAAACGAAUUUGUCGCUAAGUGAGGAGUAUACUAUAAUGGUAAUGAGUUUGUGUCAACCAUCUUUGAUAUUGUUUUAAUGUCAGCUUUGCAUCAUUUAUAACAUUUCUGGUAUAUUUUUAAAUGUUUAUACAGUAGUGUACUGUACGUAUAUUGAAAUUAACAAAAUAGAGGAAAUCAGCUCUAAUAUAUGUACAUUAUUUAGGUAUGAAUAAUGGUCAGAGAGCCCGUCGUAAGUCCGAGGUGUUAGUAAACGAGUACAUCGCUAAAUGAGGAGAGGCUGUAUUUGUAUAGCUAUUAAACCUAACCAUAGCUAGGGCUUAUUGUUACCUUAUAAUUGUACUAAGUCAAGGGAUGACCACCAACAAUGACACUGUAAACAAUACAAGUGAGUGGCAAUUUUUGGCCACCCAGUAAAAUACAUGUAGUCUGGCAAAAAAACUAGUCUCAUAAUUAUGUCCAGACUAAAAGAGGUGCCUGACUAUCUGUUGCCAGAAAAUUGGUGUUGUCCCUGUAUACUACAAAAUAAAACUGUAAUUUAGUGCCUAAUCUAACUGCUAUAACUGUAAAGUAAAAAAUAAUGUAAUUGUAAAUUCAAAAUAAAUUUUUUGUGGUACGAUACCAUGAAAUACCAAAUUAACAUUGAAAUUUUUUACGUAAAAAAGUCUUUAACUUAUGUAAUUGUAAAAUUUUAAUCCCUUGAGUAGAUAUAAUCUAUCAUUCCACAAAUAAUAAAAAUUAACCUUGAAAUUUAAAAAAAAAAACUCAGUUUCUAUGGACACAAACCUAAAUCAUCUCUCCAUUUAAACUGUACCUGACUGAUAUGCACA